GGAGUGCAAACAACUUGAAAGAGUACAGUGUUAAAAAUUCCUGGGUAUGCACAUUGAUGAGAAGAUUAACUGGAUGGACCAUGUGAUCUCCAUACACAACUUCUUCAGUUGUGUUAUCACUGUCUACAUAAAUCGUAAAUGUAACAGGGGAGUUACUAAUUGAUGAUGAUGGCCCUGCCACAUUCAUACCCAUUGUCGACUGCUGACUUCCCAAAUAUGAUACCAGCGACUGAAAACGACUGGCGUGAAACGGUAUGUUUGUUCUCACAGAUUCGUCAGUUCCCCCACUGUGUCGGAGCAAUUGACGGGAAACAUUUAGUGCUACAGUGUCCUGUUGGUAGUGGAAGUGAAUAUUAUAAUUAUAAAGGUUCAUUCAGCAUUGUGCUGCUUGCUGUUGUCGAUGCCAGCUGUAACUUUUUGUACGCAGAUAUCGGCUGCUAACCCAGAAUAUCAGAUGGUGACGUGUUCCAAAACGCAAGCAUAAGUGAGUUAAUUAACAAAAAGAAACUAAACUUGCUCCAAGUUGAUGGCUUACCAGGUGGAACCAUAUGUUUUUGUGGCAGACGAUGCUUUUCCCUUACAGGAAAACAUGUUAAAGGUUCAAAAGAGAGAGUUUUUAACAACAGAUUUUCUAGGGCCAGAAUGGUUGUUGAGAACACUUUCGGCGUUAUGGCUUCAGUUUUUUGUGUGUUUAGGAAACCUAUGUUGCUACAACCGCAGAAGGCAAAACUGUCACACUUAACAGCUGUAUGUCCCAACAGUUUUUUAAGGUGAAAUGCUGAGGCACUAGUACACCCCACAAGAAAGCUUCGAUUCCUACAGUUUACAAAUAGGUGAGAUGAUUCCAGACACAUGGAGAUGAGAUGACACUGCAUCAAUUUUCAUUGCAGCACAGAAUAUACCAAGGAAAGCUGCUUUCACACAUAACCAAAUUCGAGACAAGUUUGCUAACUAUUUUUUAAGCCCACAAAGAAGUGUACCGUGGCAAAAUAACUAUGGGUGAAUGUGACUGUGUACUAUACAUCAUUUUCCACAGUACCUGUUGUCUCCUUCGGUUCAUGAACAUCGUCCAAGAACUGCAGCGGCCGAUAGCCGAACCUGUUGGAGUCAUAUGCAGUGUCUGCACCACUACCAGAUGGUUGACAGAAAAUUAUUUUUCUUUUCUCACGCCUGUAAGCAACCACGAGCGAUCGUAUUUUUCUCUACACUUUCCUUGUCCGUGCCAAAAGCAACUCAAUUUUUGUAAGUGCAUCAUGUUUUUUAACACUUGUUUUUAUAUUCCUUGCUCCAGACGUUCCAUAAGCAAUCCUCCCCAUGGUACAUGUCAAGUAAUCAACAAUUUGCUGCCUUGACCACUCCAUUGUUUUAGAAAAAUUAAGCGAAAACGACACUAUAGUAAACACAACACCACUUAACAGUAGAUGACACACACGCACGCUAGUGCCGUGCAGCAGUGACAAGUGGUGGCUAGCCCGAAGCAUUGUUUCCUUUUAUCUGUACCGACGCUGCUACGGAUAGAUGUUUCUGUGUUUUGAAACAUGUUUCCAAAAGGUGUCCACAUCAAGCAGCCGGAAACAUAUUUUGAAAACAUGUUUAAGGCUCAGUGUGUAUGCAGCUUUAGAGAGAGAUCUAGUGAUGGGCCAAACUGCGAUUUUCCGACAUCUGUGAUUUCUGUGAAUGCUACUCUCCAUUAUCUGUUACUCUUAACUGUGAUUUGUCGCAGUUUAGAAUCGCAGUUAAUGAAUCUACUCUACCACUGGUAUUUCUGCGACUUCUGUGAUUUCUGCGAUUUAUCACCAUAUGAAAAAGUUACAUUUGUCGACAGAAAAUUGCAUCUCAGGAAAACUGUCAUUAGUAAGUAUGUUUUACAUCUGUUCGUCCAUUGGCUUUAAUUUUGUGUUAAAGAAACAAUUGUGAAAAUAUUAAUAGUGUAAUUAAUACGUAAGUAGCCAUACAGUACCGUAAUAGUUCGUGUGUAGAAAAUGGAUUCUAACAUAUUCUUAUGUUCACAGGUUCCUGAACUACGUUUCAGUCACUCGGUAUAGCCAUAAUUCAAAAUAUCAUCGUCAACAAAUCUGGAGAAACUGUCA